AGACCAUGCAGCAAACUAUGGC
rnacentral:siRNA from 1 species